AUCAUAAACUGACGAGUAGUAAAGUUUUUUUUCAACGUUAUAACUGUUUAAUACUGAUCAAUUCCUACUCUCACAGUGAGACACAGUCAUCGUAAACUACUAAAUUAACUUGCGUGGCAACUGAGCUGAUUUUCAUACCAGAUAUUACAUGACGGCACAACGUGUACAGUGGAAAACCUCAAGAUCUACAUCUGUGGCAUGAGAGACAGAGGAAGGGCAGCACGGACAAAUUGAGAUGCAUUUCAGUUUUCUGACGGUCUCAUCUUCAACACACUGGAAGAAGUCUUCUGAAGCUUCGCGCAAGGUGGAGAAAAACUCAUGCACUCCUGGGCAUCAAAGUAGGACCAAACAGAAGCCAGGAGGAAGAGUGAAGAUGCAAAGAGUAGAGCAUCGCUCCAACCUACCACAGUGACCUCAGAAACGAGUACGUCAGAGGGACGUGGAGGAGUUUGAAGAGGACAGAGUGUUGGGAGAGCAGAGAAGAUUAUUGUUGGCGACAAAGAAAAGGAAGACGACCAAUGAGGCUCAAGGGUGUGACAAAGGUGGAACAGGUGUGUCAUGGGAAUGCGCAAGAAGAGAAUAGGAAAUCACCAAAGAAAAAGAAGGAAUUUAUUCGGCCUAAUAAUAUUUGUUUUUGGUCAAUUUCCGCUCAAAUUAUUUUAAUGAAGAUGAUGUCUUUACCAUGCACCACACGAGCGCCCUUCCGUAUGUCUUGAUCAUCAAUUUGUGAUCCCACUUUAUUCCCAGCAAAGUCGGCGAUGCCAUGUGCCGCGUCCACUACAGAACAAGACAGUAUAACGUUCACUUCUUUAGAAAAACAACAAGAGAGAGAAAAUCGCUCUGCAUGAAAGGCAUUGUCACCAAGGUAUUCAGUGGCUUCGGCAGCUCCAUCUGUCGCCUUUGCAACUCUCUCAAGGGUUGCCAUGCUUACGGGGUUGACAUGAGUUGGUCUGGCAUGUGGCUUGGUGUGCUCUCUUAUUUUGGUGCCCCCUUUCUGGAUGUUUUUGCAAACAAACUUCGAUCCUUUCUUCAAGGUAGCCGAAAGACCUCCUGGAGUGCAGUACAUUUUCACUUUAACAGUGAUUCAGCAAGGCAAAGCAACAUGACCUGACCUCUCACAAACUCCUCGCUGUCCUCGUGCCGGGGAGGUGCGGACAACUCGGGCUGGUAUGAGUUGGCAUAGCUCGCACCGCCGUCCUGAGACACAUGACAACAUGAAUAAAAAUUGUGCAAGCCAUAACAAUGAUGGUUAUACUGACACCUGAUCUCUGAAGCUUGUCCCCUGAGCGAACAUGUGGUGGAACAUGUCUCUGUCCUGAGCAUCCACAAAUGAAAGCAACACUCGGACUGUUUGGGUCCCGUUCCAUUCAUCCCACAUGUACAUGCCGUUGCACAGCCAAGUCGGACUGUCUGGGGUCAGGACGAACCUGAAGUCACACACCUGCCAGGAGGAUGAUAACUCAGGCAUUUCUUAAGAGAAACCAUCAGAGGGCAGCAGAGAAGUCCACUCUUCUACAUUAUAUUUUACAACAUUAUUAUUUCAU